CUGGAACGCGUUCGGCGCACCCAGAAACCUUUGGUGAAUUUAUACUUUAUUGUUGCCUCGGCGCAGGCCGCCCCUUCCACUGGGGCCCUUCGGAGACGAGGAGCAGCCCGCCGGCGGCCAACCAAACUCUUGUUUCUUAGUGAAUCUCUGAGUAAAAAACAUAAAUGAAUCAAAACUUUCAACAACGGAUCUCUUGGUUCUGGCAUCGAUGAAGAACGCAGCGAAAUGCGAUAAGUAAUGUGAAUUGCAGAAUUCAGUGAAUCAUCGAAUCUUUGAACGCACAUUGCGCCCUCUGGUAUUCCGGAGGGCAUGCCUGUUCGAGCGUCAUUUCAACCCUCAAGCCUGGCUUGGUGUUGGGGCACUGCUUCGAGAGAAGCAGGCCCUGAAAUCUAGUGGCGAGCUCGCCAGGACCCCGAGCGUAGUAGUUAUAUCUCGUUCUGGAAGGCCCUGGCGGUGCCCUGCCGUUAAACCCCCAACUUCUGAAAUUUUGACCUCG
rnacentral:rRNA from 1 species